rnacentral:lncRNA from 1 species
CUACACCACCACCUACGGUUGCAGUUCCUCUGCCAACCUCUCCUGCUCCCAGCAUUGCUCCCCCCACUUCAUCAGCUCCGGUAUCCCCUCCUCCUCCUGCUGCUCCCAGCCCCCCUCCUCCUUCUCCUCCUCCUCCUCCUCAUGCUCCCAGCACUACUCCCAGCAUGGCUCCUACGGUAUCCCCUCCUCCUCCUUCUCCUCCUCCUCGUCCCCAUGCUCCCAGCAUGGCUCCUACGGCAUCCCCUCCUCCUCCUCAUGCUCCCAGCACUACUCCUAGCAUGGCUCCCACCACUUCAUCACCUCCGGUAUCCCCUCCUCCUGCUCCCAGCACUACUCCCAGCAUGGCUCCCACCAUUUCAUCGACUCCGGUAUCCCCUCCUCCAAUGUCUUCUCCGAGUCCAAGUCCAUCCAUGAGCUCCCCACCUGCGCCUGCACCUGAAACGCCAGCCUCUCAACCAGCUCCAGCACCUGAAACGCCAGCCUCUCAACCAGCUCCAGCACCUGCUCCCUCCAACACCACCACCCCCUCCUCCCCAGAUUCAGGUGCAUUUGUUCAGGGAAGUAACAUGGCUUUGCUCACACUCUUUGCAGGAGUUGCACUCCUCUUUUAAGCUCCAGUGUUUCCACGAUAUUCAUUUCCAUUCACAUUUGUGUAGAUUAAAUAAUGCUUUAUGUAUUCUUUUCCUGGUAUUUCUUUUUCAUUGGGAGCUCUCCAGC